rnacentral:rRNA from 1 species
UACGUGAGGGGCAAACGUUGUUCGGUGUCACUGGGCUUAAAGGGCGCGUAGGUGGCUGCGUAAGUAACGUGUGAAAUCCCCCGGCUUACCCGGGGAAUUGCGCGUUAUACUGCGUGGCUUGAGGACCACAGGGGAAGGGGGAACUCCAGGUGUAGCGGUGAAAUGCGUAGAUAUCUGGAGGAAGGCCGGCGGCGAAGGCGCCCUUCUGGGUGGUUCCUGACACUGAGGCGCGAAAGCGUGGGGAGCAAACAGG